UCCCCGUAAGGUCCAGUGGAAUGUAUGAGAUUGCAGUCGCUUCUUCGUUGGUCUGCGUAGCUCUGAGCAACGGCUGCAAUGCUCUCGUUCCACUGCAUGGGGCCAACGCCUACCCCUGCCCGCGCCUCGUUGUGAACCCUUACAUAAUCUUGUGGGCUGUCUUGGGCCUUUGAGUGAAGAAGAGUUCCUACAAAGGCGGCUAAGAGUAUCAGAAACCUAAAAUUGCUAAUGACUUCCAUUUUUUUGGUUGACUUCUUAGCUUUACUGGGUUGUGAUUUUGGGGUUUGUGGGAACAUGGUAUAUAUAGAGUUUUUAUAACUAUCUCGCGUUUUUUUUUGGCCAGCAUAAAGAAGUAAAUAAGGUUUUAGUAUAUCAUAACAAGUUGAAAAAAAAACUUCAAUGUUAGAGGCCUAGGGCAUCUUUAAAAGGGUAGUAUGUUGGUAGGGUUUUCAGAUUAAAUAAAAUAAAAAUAAUCAAAAAGUAGGAGAAAUGUGAUAUUAUGUAUCUCAUUUAGACACUUUAGCCAUCCUUUUAGAUAUUCAUUUGCACUUGUAUUAUUAGCACUGAUGCAACUUUGUUUUGUAACUAAAAUUUUAAAACAGAAUUAAUCUGUACUACAUGUUUUGGUGCUUUUAGUACAUCAAAUAUUUCUAAGCAAAUAAAAAAAUUAACAUGUGUCCAACUAUUAAUAAUAGAUAAACUAUUUCAUUUAAACAUUGUAAAGAUCUUUUGAACAUAAUUAUAAAGCAAUAUAUAGGCUUCAAAUUAAAUUCUAAGACAUCAUAAACAUAUUACUAUCAUAUAAUAAAAAAAUAAAUGCAUUUUUUCAUUCUCUAGAGUAAUUCGAUCAUCGUUAUUAAACUAUAACAUAUUUAAAUAAAUUUUAAUGCAAAGAAAAAAGAAACGAAUUUAUGAGACCAUAAUAAGUUUUUUUUAAUUUUUGGUUGAAAUUUGACCAUAAUUAUACUUUAAGCAGUUUGAGAAGUUGGAAAACAAAACUUCAAAUUGUUAAAAGAAACCAUAAAAAUAAUAUUAAGUAAUUAAUACGAAAGCUAAUUAUAAAAAUAGAGAGAAUAUAUAAAAAAAAUGUAUACUAAAUUGAAACAAUUAAAACAAUUAUAAAUAUUCAAAUUUGGAUAAAUGACAAUUGUUGUAUGGGAGGGAUUACAAGUUAAAGAAAAACUGAAAAAUAGAAAUUUAUUAAGACCAAUUUUUAUGAUAAAUCUAAAACUAUUAUUUAAAAACUAAAAAGAUAGAAUAUUAAAUAAUUAGGCACAUUUUGACAUUUAACACUUUUUACUCUAUAUUUAAAGAGAUAAUAGACUAGUGUGCCCUUCUACGUUUUUUCAUUGACUUUAAGAAUUAACUAAACUUUAAUUUCUUUACUUAAAAACUCACGCAACAUUUUUUCUUAUGUGUUUUUUUUUGAUGAUCCUGGUAUCCGGAGCCUCGAGAGGAUCCGACUAGCGCCAAUGACCGUCCAUCGGAGCUUAGCCGGAGAGCUCGCCGAGGCAUCCAGAAGGGCUGGUGAUCACCCCAUGUAAAUCUCACCAGUAGCCACACGUUAGCAGGCUUCUCCGUAUUAGACCCGAAGGUCCCUCAAGAUAAUCACCUCCUAGCGGCACUCGAACCCAUGACUUUCCAGAUUGAGUUUAACCACUGGACCACUAACACAUGGUUUCUUUUGUGUUUUUUUUCAUGUUGUCACUAAUUUUUAUUUUUUGUUUUUCUCAGUGUUAAAAAUUACGCUCUCUACAUGGGUCUAGACGACAGAUAUAAUAUACGACAUACCAUGUCGUGCUGGUCUAAUGGUUUCCACUAGAGAAGUAGUUGUUUUAUUGGUUCAGGUUAGGAACUAAUUUCUCUCUAGUGCAAAAUUAUUAGCUCUACAUGUGGCCACACGAAUAUGAACGUAUUGUUUAUGGCUCACUUGAAUAUUCGAGAAAGGAUCCAUCCGUGGGCUGCACCUCUCACCCGAGAGUUAGAUAUGUGUCUUUAAUAGACUUAAGGUUUAACCUCUUUUACAAAAAAAAAAUAAUAUACGGCAGGUCUUCGUACUGUUUAGUGGUUUCCGAAAAUACGAUUUCAUAGUGUUGACAAAAAAAUACAAAUUUUUGGUUAAAGUUGGACAAUGUGAUUUAGCCGUCUUGAUAUAAACAUGUAAUGUUACGGUUUUGAUAAAAAAAAACGUGAUCUUACGAUCUUUAGGAAAUGUGAUUUUACUUAAAAAUGUAUUUUUUACUACGAGAAAAUGUGAAUUUCCCGAUUUGAUAAAAAAAUAUGUAUAAUUCAAUUCUCACAAAAAAUGUUUUACAAAUUUAGUGGAAAUAUAUAUGGUUUUAUAAUUUUAGCGAAAAGGUGAUUUUGUUUCUUUGUCAACACAUGAUUUUGUUGUUUAACAGGAAUGAGUCUGAUUUACUCAUUUAGACACUUUGCUGUCUUUCUUUACAAUAAAGAUCACAAUCCACUUGAGAGGCACAUUAUCAAGGAGAGAGAAGAAAUGUUGGACGUUAAAGCCCUUCCUUCCUUAAAAAAAAAAAGUAACGAGAUGAUAAGGAAAAGAUAAUAACUUAUUAUAUGGUAUGUGUAUAUAUACGUCAAAACAACAAUUUUGGUUUAGUUUGUUUUUUAUGUUACUAUUAUUCAUUUCAACUUAUGUUUAAUUUCUUUUUUUUCACAAAGUUUAAAAUACAUAAAACAAAAAUAGUUGUUACAAUAAAUUAUAAUUUAUUUUUCUCUAUAUUUUGACAUUCAUAUUCAUAUAUAUAUUUUAUAUAUUUUAACAUUUCUAUACAAAAUACAUGGACAUAUAUGAUGUGGACGGAAAAAAUGUGGACAUGUACAAAACUUAGAUAAAUAGAAAAGAUGUGGACAGGAUUUUACCAAAAAAAAAGAUGUGGACAUAGAUGAGAUAUGGUGGACAGAGAUAUUUUUCACAAUUCAUAUAUUGUUAGCUUAUUUCAAAUUCGAACAAAAAAAAGUUUUAUUGACAAAAUUCUGAAUCAUACAAAAUGUUGUGGAUGAGGUAUGGUGAACAAAAAAUCUCAAUCCUACAAAAUUUAUAUACAAAAUUUUGUGGACAGAGUUUCGUGGACAACUCAUACAAAAAUUCAAAGCUUCCUCUUGGUACUGAGAUGCAACUCUUUUAGCUUCUGCAAUGGUAACAUCCAUGUGACGGCUAUGCUAAUCUGCAACUGCGUCUAGCAGCUUCAGCUCCUCGGUUAGAAGGUCCACAAACUGUUUCUCCAUUCCCUACUUGAGCUCUUGAUCAUCACUUCCACAAUCUGUUCAAAUCACAAGUCAGAAACAUCUUCACAGGAGAAUACAAGAGCGAUAACUAUAUGACUAGAUACAUUAAGGGAUUGGUAACGUGUUUGAUCACAGAUAACUAUUGAAGUGACAAAAUCAGGCCUCAAAUGGGAUAAUUAAUGGCUACCUAAGCUUCAAUUUCCCAUAAAACUCAUAAACGCCUAGACUCAGAAGACAUGAGAAAGACAGAGAUGGCUCUUGAGAGUGGUCGUGGCUGACGGCAACAUCGUGGGAUCUUCAAAUCGAUUUUGAAGAACAGGUCCAUACUGCCAUAAAAAAAAAAGCAAUUCUUUUCAGAUCCAACAUUCAAUAAACCAAUUGAAGAAUCAGCGAGAUGAAGUCUAUAUCUUACCUAACAAAUCUUCUACUUCCCUCUCGUGGAUAUUGCAAGGAAGGUUCGAAACGUGAAUCGUUCGACUUGAACGGCUGCUCAUCUUUUCCAUUAAAUCCAAAACCAGAAAACGCAACUCACACAAUAGUUGGAUCUAAAGUGGUUCACAAAAAAAAAAGGACCGAGACGCAAAAGGGUAAGGAGAUGUAAUUAGCGUUCACGAAUUUGGGAAUGAAUGGAAGCAAGAGAAAUUAGGAUUCAUGGAUUUAGGAGAUUUCAAAAUUGAAACAAGAGAGAGAAAUGAUAAAAGGAUUUAGGGCAUCUCCAACCCAUAACACUAUUUUAGUGUCAAGAUUACACUAUUUUAGUAUAGUUUUAACACUAAAAUUUUUUAGCUCUCCAACCACAACACCAAAUAUUACACUAAAAGAAAUAUUUUUUAUUAUUAUAUUAUUAAACAAGAUUUUCUUAGUUUUUAUUGUUUAGUAAUAAUUUUUUAGCUCUCAUCCCUUUCUCUAAAAAUCUAAUUUUGAUAUUUUUUUGGUUAUUUCACAAAUUGGCCCUAAAACAAUAUUAAUUUAAAUAAUAUUUUAAUUUCACCUUUUUAAAAAAUAUUUCUAAUUUAAAUAUAAAUAUAUUACAUGACAAAAUUUAUAUUAAAAUAUUAUUAUUAAAACAAACUCUUAUAUUUAACAAUUAAAAACACAUAAUAAAAGCUAGAGUACAUUAUACAAAAUUUAAGAAUUAAAAAAACUUUACAAAAGCUAGAUUAUGCUAUCUGAUUGUAUGCAGUUUUAUCUUUUAUGCUGUUUUUUUAGUUUUAAUUUUCAGUGUUUAAAUUAAAUUUUGUUAUAUAUUUUCAACUAGUUUUUAUUUGUUUUCAAUAAAUUAAUAUUUUAUAUUAAAUAAACUUAAAAGAUAACAAAACAAAUAUGACAUAUUUACUUUAUUUAAAUAUCAUAUCCAGUUAUAAAAAUAAUAAAAUACAUAAAUUAUAGUAAAUAAUAUAUAAAUAAACAGUUUUGAAAAAAAAAAAAAAGUUUGCCGUUGCUACAGUGCAACACCAAAUAUAGUGUGACACUGUAGCUGAAAAGGGAAUCACACUAAAAUACAGUUCUUUUUACCGUGUGGUUGGAGAGAGAAAUUUGCAAAUGUUGCACUAUUUUACAGUUAUAGCGUUCGAUUGGACUUGGCCUUAGCUUUAGUUAGAACAAAAGUAAAGUUUGUCGUGGAACGUUUGUUGUUUGGUUAAUGAAAGGGUAGAAGAGACAAUACACAAGAAGAAAGUGUGUCAAAAGCAAGAUGUGCUUCUUGAUGUAAUUGCAAUGUCAAAAUGUGUCCCAAGAUGUAAAUUUUUCUUGUUAAUUUGGAUGAAAAUUUGAUUUGUGAUUCUGAUAGAAGAUGUAAUUUUUUUUGUUUUAGCAAAAAUAUGUAAUUUUAUAGUUUGUUGGGAAAAUAAGAUUUUUCAUUUUGAUAGAAAAUAUGAUUUUGUGGGUUUUACGGUUUUGACAGAAAAUAUUAUUUGUAAUUUUGGUAGAAAAUUUUAUGGUUUUGACGAAAGUUAUUUAGACGAGACUACAAAUGUAAUUUUAUGGUUUUGGUGAAAGUUAUUUAGACGAGACUACAAAUGUAAUUUGCAUGUUUUUAUCAAAAAAUAAAUGUGAUUUUAUAUUCUUGACAGAAAAUACAAUUUUUAAUUUUAGCAGAAAAUACAUUAUUGUGUACUUUAUUAUAUCUAUCGUGAGAGUCAAAAUCCACGCAAUCGAAUUUGUAGCGUGUUUUUUUCAGGAACCUAAAGUUUCCGAGUGUGAUUACACCAAACACAAAGCCCAAAGAUGUACUAUUAUUUUAUUGAUUAGAGCUAGACCUUCUAUAAGUUUGUCUACUAUCACGGCCCAGAGCCCACUCGUCCAUGAAGAUCAGUUAAGGAAAUGGGCCAACCAAAGGAGAACAAAUUCCACCAACACUUAUUAAACCUUAAGUCUUGUAUAAAAUAUAAAAAAUGUAUUAAAUGUUUUGGAAGAGUGCAGAAUACAUUAGAGACUAGAUAGAGAGUAACAUAUAAAUAACCAUAAAAUAAGUAUAGAGAGUAAGGCAUAUAUCUCAGCUGGUCGUUUAUAGAAAAGAGGUGAUGAGAGCCUCGUUUGUAACAUAUGCAAGAAUUUAAUAAGAAUACACUUCUCUAAAGCUUUUUCUAUAUUAUGAUACUCUCUUUCUAAGAAAAUUGUCUGAGUUUUGGAUAGAGGUUAGAGUUUAACUUACCAACUACAAAGAGUAUAAAGAUGCUAAGGCUGCACAUUCUGAUUGAAUAGGAAUCAGUCUGUGACAAGUCAUAUCAGAGCCGACUAUGAUAAGGGAAUUUUAUCUGAGAGUAGGGCUAAAGAAAGUAAAGACAAAGAAGUUUUAUCGAUGUCCAGACGAGGAACGCAGAAGGGAGACCACGUCCGCUCAUGUAAAGAGGCUGAUGGGAAAAUAGUGUUUCUGUGAAGUCUUGGAAAUAGGCAUGGGUGAUCUAGGAGAAAAAUUCGAGAGGGUUGAGCAUAACGUCACCGAACUUGAAAGUUGCGUGUUCAGCGGGCUUGACGAGGUCAAACACAAUGUUGUCGAAUUAGACUCUCGGUUCAUUAGACUAUAAGAGUUAGUUACAUUAUACAUCCAUGCCUUUCAUAUCAACUUCUGACUGAUAAUUCUGACUGAUGCACAUAUAAACUUCACCAAUAACAAUAUGUAUAUAUAUAUAUAUAUAUAUAAUUAACCAAGGGAGACACUGGCAGAACAAAAUUUAGCAGAUCAAAUAGAAAACACAGAUCAUGCAUAACAAAUAUAGAUCGUGCGGAACAAAUGCAAAUCAAUGCAGAACAAAUGCAAGUCUAACUAUUUAAAUUAAUUAUUGAAUCAUUAUUUUAUACUAAAUAUUAAAACGUAAAAGAUAUUAACUAGAUAUCUAAAAUUAAAGUUCUUAUAAAUAAUAGAUAUAUAUAUUAUUAUUUAUUCUAUGUUAAUUAUCAACAAUAGAAAUAAAACUAGCUAUAAAUAUAUUUCUAUAUCUAUAAAAUUAUUAUAUGUUUUAAUUUUGAAGUUAUAAAAUUUUAGAAGAUGCACAAUAAUAUACAUAUGUAAGUAAAUAUAUAUAUAUAUAUAAUAACUAUAAAUAUAUUUAUAUAUCUAUUAGAGUAUUAUAUGUUUUCCUUGUGAUAAGUUAUAAAAAUUUAGAAGAUACAAAAUAACAUGCAUAUAUAUAAUAGAUAUAUAUAUUAUUUGUUAUAUGUUAAUUAUUAUCAACAAUAAAAAUAAAAAUAACUAUAAAUAUAUUUCUAUAUUUACAAAAUUAUUAUAUGUUUAAUUGUGAAGUUGAAAAAUUUUAGAAGAUACAAAAUAACAUGCAUUUUUAAGUAAAUAUAUAUAAACUAACUAUAUAUAUAUAAUUAUUAUAUGUUGUCGUUGUGAAAUUAUAAAAUUUUAGAAGAUACAAAACAGCAUGCAUAUGUAAGAAAAGUCCAAAACAUUAAUUUUCAAAUACAAAAAUAAAAUGUAAAAUAUCACUUUUAAACUUGGCGAGAAUAAAAAAAAUAUGUACAUGUAAGUAAAUAUAUAUAAAUUUCUAUUAACAUAUAUUAAAUUAAACAAAGAAAAAAAAGUAUUAAACCAUAUAUUUAAAAUAUUUGUAUCUGGUUUGAAAAUAAAGAAAUGAAUUAAAUGGUUUAUAUAUGUAAUUAAUAGGCAAAUGAAAGACUUAAUUUCUAUUGGUCCUCGGCUUGUUUUAACUUUCUUUCUUUUUCCUCCUGCAGAUCAACAUUUUAAUGACUAUUUAUAAUUUGCAUGCAGAUUAGUGCAGUCCAAUCUGCAAUAUUAAUGAACUAAAAUUUAAAUUUAAAUGGUAAAUAAAAUGUAAAUUGAUCUGCAUUCUAAAAAAUUAUAUUUAAUCUGCAUUUAAAGUGUAUUGCAUUCAAAGCUAGUAUCUAACAGAAUUGUUUUUUUUGCGAAAAACAAAAGUAAAACACUAUCUUUUGAAAAUUAACCAAGAGGGAUUCACGGAUCCUCUAGACGUAGAGCAUAUUAUGGGUGGAUGUACACCCCCUCUUUCCUUAGUAGCAUAUUACUGACCACAUUGCCAUCUAUCAUCCAUCAGCAGAAAAAACAAAGCAUCAUGACUUAUUUCUUGAAGCGACUAUGAUAUCAUUGUGGUGGAAUAAUCAAAGUCUGCUAAAAUUAGGCUCUUUAAAGCCAUUCAAAUCUUAUCUUUACCUCAUGAUUCAUUGAAACAUUUUUUUAAAAAAAAAUUCAUAAAAGAAAACAAUAUUUCAAUGGUGACGAAUAUGUCCAAUACUAGUCCAAGGGGUUCUUCGGUUCUGUGUCUGGAAAGUCACAUGCGGCAGCUAAGUUCAUCAUCCAAAUUUGUUAUUCGUAUUUGCAUUUAGAUCCAAUUUACUGGUUUGCUAGUUUGCAAAAAAAAAAAAUUUUGAAAAAUGAUUGGCUCUACACCGCCUAUAGGUCAUCACAUGACCACAUAUUUGUACAUUACUAAUUACUCAUAUAUCACUAAAUACACAAACUAUACAACUAUAACAUGAUGAUGAUAUACAUCAUCUAACAUGUGUUAUAUAUUAAACAUCAUACUCAUACUUUUAUUGCAGAAUUAGUAGAUUAGAUUAUCCAGUUCAAAAAAAAAAGUAGAUUAGACGUUGAAAUCAUGUAAUGAAUUAUUGUAAAAAUUUCUGAUCUAAAAGAAAACCUGAUCAAAAUUAAUUUAAGCAAUCCAAACAGCCUAAAAUAUGUUCGUUAAAUUGGAACGGGUUGGUUAAAGUGGAACAGAUUGGCUUUUUAUUAUGAACGAUUCAUUUUUUUUAAUAUUAAUUGGAUUGCCCGCUUUCAAUAUUCGUACCAUUUUUUGGCAACACAAAGUAUGAUCGUGGUGUUAACUACAUUCUAACAGAUACAUGUUAUUUUAAUCAUAUUGUUUGUAUUGUUCUAAAUACAUUAAUACAGUCUAGAUGUGUCAUCAUAUGCUGGCUUAUAGUUAGUGUGGUUGACAGCCAUUUUUUAUUAGAAAAAACUAUUGAUGUAAUGUAAGUACUAGUUUACAUUAGAUGGCAUAAAAUGCUGUUUUACGCUACUAGUUUUUGUGAUUAAUAUUUUGGUGAAGUAAUUAUUUCAUCGAAUUCAAAAGAGGGGUUAGUGGAAUACUAACUGCUCGAGCUCGAAGAAGAAUUUUGAUCAGAAUAAUUAAUUAUCAGAUAACGUUUAAUCGAUUUUUCAAUGAAAUAUCAUAUAUUAUUAAUAAUAGAAAUUAGUGAAAUACUAAUCAAAUUUAGUUCUUAGUAGAAAUAAUCUGAAUUAUAAGAUAAAUAUAAUAUAAUUAAUAGUUAUUAUGAGACUCCAUAAUUAUGUAAGCCAAAAUAAGGUUCAAGAAUUUUAAUUCCAAAAUGCAGUAAAACAUUUUGCAACAAGCUGCGUUCAAAUGCCGCAUUAACAUAAAUUUAUGUCUUAGCUUGGUUUCAUAGUUUUGAAAAAGGAGGUUCUCUUCUCUUAUAAUUACAGUUUUUGUUUUGAAACUUUAACUGACUUGAAAAGUCGUAUUUGGUAUGCAUUCUACUAAUUUAACGUUAGCCUUACGUUAACCAUACUUCCGUUAUAUCACUAUGUUACUGAUACUUAGCUUUUCAGAUUUACAACGCUUAUUGCUUUUUUCAUAUAUAUAUAUAUAUAUGAGAUUGUACGAGAUGCCAGUAAACUAGGUAACGGAUAAUUAGUAACCAUUGAUUUUUAUUUUUCUUUAAUAUUGAUACACAUCCUGUAUAUGAUGUUCUUUAUUGAAUAUGUAAACACGUCCACAUAAUUGCACGUGUUUUAUAUGUCGAUGCAUAAUAACUCAUUAGUAAGGCUUCUCGUUCACAUAAUUGCCCCGAGGAUCAUAGUUGCAAGAAAUGAUGGUUCCACCAUUGUUACACCUCGCUUUGCCACAUCCAAUUCUCACAGACUUUCUCCAAACAACCUGAGUAUAGUGAAGGCAUUCUCCAUUGCACGUGUUCGAAUCGUGGUUAUAGUUAGCCUUCUCGUUAACCCAAAGGUUCACGGCGCUGACGCCAGAAAAGUCGGCGCUACUCCCGGCCAAGUUCUCUCCGUAAGGCCCGUCGGAGUGUAUGAGUCUGCAGUCGCCUCUUAGUCGGUCGGCGUAGUUUUGAGCGUAGGCUGCAAGCGUACCGUCCCACUGCACGGGACCUACGCCUACUGCCUGUCGUGCUUGGUUGUGAGCGUUGACAUAGUCUUGUGGACUGUCUUGAGCUUUCGAGGGAUGAACAAGAGCUCCCACAAGGGCAGCCAAAAUUAAUAGAAGUCGAGAACAGUUAGUGACUUUCAUUUUUCGUAUUUUAUAAGUGCUAUUUCCAAGCUUAUUUUUGUGUGUUAUGAUUUUGGGGCUAGCAAGAACGGUUUAUAUAGAGACUAGCUCGAGUCUUCGGCACCAACCAUAAAAGAUAAACACGUUUUGAUAGUAAGAACAUUUUCAGUGGUUGCCUUCAUUUUCUGUUCAAAAUAAUAAUGUUACCUUAAAACGAUGUAGCCUUUUGUUCAAUAAAUAAAAGUAAUCUACAUUAAAAAUAAGUUUGGGUUUUAUUCAAAUGGUUGCCUUCAUUUUUUCUAAAAGAUAAUAUUUCAAAUAUAUUAUUUUAUUAAUAAUAAUUAUAAAUUUGUAAUAAUUCUUUAUUUUAAAACUUACAAAUUUGAUCUAAUUUUAAUUUAAAUAAAUUUUUAUUUAUGUACAUAAAUUUAAUUUUAGUAGAAUAUACAAUGAUUUAUAUGAAUUAAUAAUUAUAUUAAUGAAAAUAUUAAUAAUUUUGUUAAAAUAGAGAAUACAUGCAUAUAUUUAAUAUUUUAGAUAGAAACAUUAUAUUAAAGUUUAAGGAUCAGUUUGCGAAUAAGAAAAUCUAACAUUGAAAUGAAGUUGUGAGUAAUGUUCUUUCAAAUUUAGUGUGUGAUUAUUUAUAUUUUCAUUUUUUUCUCAAAAUUGCCCUUAUCUUUAAUGUGUGUGUGUGUUUUUUUUUAAUGAUAGACUUUGGUGAUGGUCUAAUGAGUAUACUGCUCAUAUAGUUGAAGUUGGGUUUUCAUUCCAUGUGCAAAUUCGAAGUUGGAAUAAAAUAUUUUAAAAUAGGUGCACAGAAUUUUCUUCUUUGUUUAUGAAAAUUUUGAGUUUUAAUGGCAUUUUUAACGCAUGACUAUCUGUUGAGAUGAUUUCUUUUUAUGGUAUUUUCUAAUACUUAUGUAGUUUUGUUUUGCUUUUUUUUUUUUAACAAGUGAAGCUAUUAUACUACAUCAGAAAAGAACACCUAAUGAAACAAAUUCAGACGAAGGAAUCUAGAAAAUUUUGUUUAAGAAAUGGCAUGCAUGAGUGAUUUUAUUUCCGUCAUUGGAGGAGGAUGUGCUUUAUCCAUACUUUUUUUUUAACUACUGCUUUAUCCAUUCUAGGAUGUAAAUAUUGUAAGACUCAAGAGCUGAACUCAACGUGUUGGUUGAUGAGCACUUUUUCCGGUGAUUAGCACGGAUAAAAGACUUAUACAAGGAGAAGACGGCCAUAAUUGAGGGGGUAGUAGUUGAAGUUUCUAUGUUGUUACUACUUACAAACUUACAAUCGGUAAAACGUGCCAGUGACUUUUAGAAGAAAAUUGGGAAAUUGCCAUA
rnacentral:lncRNA from 1 species